UACGUAGGGUCCGAGCGUUGUCCGGAAUCACUGGGCGUAAAGGGCGCGUAGACGGCUUGAUAAGGUUGCGGUGAAAGCCCGGGGCUCAACCCCGGGUCGGCCGUGGCAACUGUCGAGCUGGAGCACUGUAGAGGCAGGUGGAAUUCCGGGUGUAGCGGUGGAAUGCGUAGAGAUCCGGAAGAACACCGGUGGCGAAGGCGGCCUGCUGGGCAGUGGCUGACGCUGAGGCGCGACAGCGUGGGGAGCAAACAGG
rnacentral:rRNA from 1 species